rnacentral:rRNA from 1 species
AUUUGAAAUCUGGCUCCCUUGGGCGCCCGAGUUGUAAUUUGUAGAGGGCGCUUUGGCGUCGGCACCGACCUAAGUUCCUUGGAACAGGACGUCGCAGAGGGUGAGAACCCCGUACGUGGUCGGCCGCCUUCGCCGUGUAAAGCCCCUUCGACGAGUCGAGUUGUUUGGGAAUGCAGCUCUAAAUGGGAGGUAAAUUUCUUCUAAAGCUAAAUAUUGGCCAGAGACCGAUAGCGCACAAGUAGAGUGAUCGAAAGAUGAAAAGCACUUUGGAAAGAGAGUCAAAAAGCACGUGAAAUUGUUGAAAGGGAAGCGCUUGCAGCCAGACUUGCCUGUAGUUGCUCAUCCGGGCUCUCGCCCGGUGCACUCUUCUGCGGGCAGGCCAGCAUCAGUCCAGGCGGUCGGAUAAAGGCCUCGGGAAUGUGGCUCUCUUCGGGGAGUGUUAUAGCCCGGGGUGCAAUGCGGCCAGCUUGGACUGAGGUCCGCGCAUUCGCUAGGAUGCUGGCGUAAUGGCUGUAAGCGGCCCGUCUUGAAACACGGACCAAGGAGUCUAACAUCUAUGCGAGUGUUUGGGUGUCAAGCCCGAGCGCGCAAUGAAAGUGAACGGAGGUGGGAACCCCUCGGGGUGCACCAUCGACCGAUCCUGAUGUCUUCGGAUGGAUUUGAGUAAGAGCAUAGCUGUUGGGACCCGAAAGAUGGUGAACUAUGCCUGAAUAGGGUGAAGCCAGAGGAAACUCUGGUGGAGGCUCGCAGCGGUUCUGACGUGCAAAUCGAUCGUCAAAUUUGGGCAUAGGGGCGAAAGACUAAUCGAACUAUCUAGUAGCUGGUUCCUGCCGAAGUUUCCCUCAGGAUAGCAGUAACGUUUUCAGUUUUAUGAGGUAAAGCGAAUGAUUAGAGGCAUGGGGGUUGAAACAACCUUCACCUAUUCUCAAACUUUAAAUAUGUAAGAAGUCCUUGUUACUUAAUUGAACGUGGACAUUUGAA